rnacentral:rRNA from 1 species
UGGGGAAUAUUGGGCGAUGGAGGAAACUCUGACCCAGCGACGCCCCGUGAGGAAUGAAGGCCUUCGGCUUGUAAACCUCUUUCACCAGGGAAUAAGCGAAAGUGAAGGUACCUGCCGAAGAAGCACCGGCUAAAUAUGUGCCAGCAGCCGCGGAAAUAAUC